CCUACGGGAGGCAGCAGUGGGGAAUAUUGGGCAAUGGGCGCAAGCCUGACCCAGCAACGCCGCGUGAAGGAAGAAGGCUUUCGGGUUGUAAACUUCUUUUAAGGGGGAAGAACAGAAGACGGUACCCCUUGAAUAAGCCACGGCUAACUAAGUGCCAGCAGCCGCGGUAAUACGUAGGUGGCAAGCGUUGUCCGGAUUUACUGGGUGUAAAGGGCGUGCAGCCGGAGAGGCAAGUAAGAUGUGAAAUCCACGGGCUCAACCCGUGAACUGCAUUUGAAACUGUUUCCCUUGAGUGUCGGAGAGGUAAGCGGAAUUCCUUGUGUAGCGGUGAAAUGCGUAGAUAUAAGGAAGAACACCAGUGGCGAAGGCGGAUUACUGGACGAUAACUGACGGUGAGGCGCGAAAGCGUGGGGAGCAAACAGGAUUAGAUACCCUAGUAGUC
rnacentral:rRNA from 1 species